rnacentral:lncRNA from 1 species
CUGAUUUCUCUGAAGAUGAGCUAGGGACCUUGUGUAUCAUGACUAAAGAAAUAUGCUGGAAAGCCUGAUGUAGGUUUAAGGUUCAGGUUUUCUAAUGAAUGUACUAUAAUAAACCUUUGCCUAUGUACACAGGAAUCCUGAAGACACUGCUGUGAUUAUUGGCCUGACGCACCCUGUGGUACCACUGAGAGUUGUGAAGUUGUCUACCAUUCUACUGCAUGAGUUGCAGUAGAACCCCUGGCUGGUGAGAGGGGCAGCAAGAAAUGACCUGACAUUGCUACUCCUCCAAGAUGUCCAGACUACCAUUCGGCUCUUAGUACCCUUAGGGAGAGACUGAUGAGAAUCCAGAAAUGUUAAAGAUGCAAGUGAUGGAAGCUUCCAGCUGUGCCCACCUGUAACCUGACAUAGUUCCAUUGUUUGCUUCAUUACUCAGGCCAAAGACUCUAAUGCAAAUGUGGUACACAGUCACAUGUUUUUCUAUCUACAUGAUAGAAACUAUAACUUCAUCCCUAUAUAAAAGGGUAUACAGCGUAUGACUAAAUGAUAAAUAUACGUGAAUCACUGAUCAGUAAGAAACCAUUUUAAAAGUCUUUAACUACAGAACAAAAUCUCUGAAAAAAAUUGUUGUUAAUCUCUGAGUUUUCUUACAUGGGUAAUUAAUCUCUAGUCAUACUAAAUAGCUAGUAUGCUGCUCUUCAAAC